rnacentral:rRNA from 1 species
AACGAACGCUGGCGGCAUGCCUAACACAUGCAAGUCGAACGAAGCCUUCGGGCUUAGUGGCGCACGGGUGCGUAACGCGUGGGAAUCUGCCCUUGGGUUCGGAAUAACAGUUAGAAAUGACUGCUAAUACCGAAUGAUGUCUUCGGACCAAAGAUUUAUCGCCCAAGGAUGAGCCCGCGUCGGAUUAGCUAGUUGGUGAGGUAAAGGCUCACCAAGGCGACGAUCCGUAGCUGGUCUGAGAGGAUGAUCAGCCACACUGGGACUGAGACACGGCCCAGACUCCUACGGGAGGCAGCAGUGGGGAAUAUUGGACAAUGGGCGAAAGCCUGAUCCAGCAAUGCCGCGUGAGUGAUGAAGGCCUUAGGGUUGUAAAGCUCUUUUGGCAGGGAAGAUAAUGACGGUACCUGCAAAGAAGUACCCGGCUAACUCUGUGCCAGCAGCCGCGGUAAU